rnacentral:lncRNA from 1 species
AGAAAGAAGAAUAAAAAUUGCGAUAACAAAAUCUUAAAUAGAAUACUAACAAUACUCUAAUUAGACUAUAAUAAUAGUAAACAAACGUAAUCAAAUUCAAAACAACUCAAAAAAAUUUCAAACAAACAAUAAAAUUCUUAAAGAAAUAUUAGAAUGAUCACAAAUUUUACUCAAAUAUAUGUCAAUUCAACCUUAAUUUAAUUCUAGUUAAAAUCCUAUUGAAUUUCACUCAACUUUAGACCAAACCUAAUUAAAUCUUAAACCCUAAUAAUUCCUAAAUCCUAAGUCAAAUCCUAAACAAAUCUUAAAUUAAAUCCUAUUUCAAACCCUAAAUCAAACCCUAAACCAAACCCUAAUCCAACCUUAAACUCUAAUCCAAAUCCUAAAUUCUAAACCAAACCUUAAAUCAAACCCUAACCAAACCCUAGUCCAAACUCUAAUCCAAAUCCUAAUCCAAAUCCUAAUCCAAAUCCUAAACUCUAAACCAAACCUUAAAUCAAACCCUAAUCAAAUCCUAAUCCAAACCCUGAAUCAAAUCAUAACCAAACCCUAAAUCCUAAUCCAAACCCUAAAUCAAAUCAUAACCAAACCCUAAACCCUAAUCCAAACCCUAAUCCAAACCCUA